CACGAGGCGGGGUGUGACAGCAGUCACCAUGGCCAGCGGGUCGCUCAGGGCUGCAAGGGGACGGGGCGCCGCUGUUACCGGUUUAAGGAGCUCCCAAAACAGAGACACAACGUCUGUUUCAGAAAGGAGACAUCGUUUAAUCUGCACAUCGUGUAAGGCGGAGGUUUCCACAAAUCAAGUACACCAACGGGUAAAAGGCCCUAUCUUUUAUGCAGUAACAUUCACACGAACCUGCCUAUCUAACACAUAUUCUCCGCCUACCUAAUGCAUAUUUAAUUUUGGUGAUGUGACCUUGCGCAAUGCUCGAAACACAGAGUUAUUUUCUUCAUUAAGCAACUUCUGUUGUAGAAGUUAUCUGACUACAUCCUUUACGUUUACAAAAGCCACCACAGGCAGUGCCAUGCAGAACGACAGCUGGGGUCCUGCCUGCCUGUGGACAGGAAGUCCUGCUUCCCACAAAAGCUGAGGUCCAGAGGAGUUGGUGCCUUCAAGAAGUGAGAUGUCAGCUCAGCCUGCACCUAGCAUCUGCUUAUGAUAUCAUUUGGUACAAGCUGGGAGUUGCUCUGAAAAGCAUAUGCAAAGCAGAGCUUUGAGAUUGGUAUGGUGUGAACAGGUCUUCAUGCCCUGCUUCCUGUUACGGCACGUGUCUGACUGCUGGUGAUCACUCUGACCUGGCUAGCAGCAGAGCAGCUGGAGACGGGCCCCAACAAGUGGUGGAGAAUGAGGGCACCCAGUGUGGGGGGCACUGAAGAGAAUCAACCUCCCAGCGAACCUGGGGUAUUGAGGACAGUGCAGAGAGACUACCAGUGUGAGGCCCUAGAACACCAUGGGCUUUGGUACUCGGGAGCGAGGUUUCAUAAGGACCAGCAGAGAAGAGAGGGGAUGUUUUGCUUUCUGCGCCCCAUGUCCCUGAAGCCUCUGACCCUGAGAACAGGGUGGGAGAUGGAAUGGGACUGGCCACACAGCCACACGCCAGACAACCAACAUCAGGCCUCAAGAAAGAAGAAGCCACAACUGAUGGCGUCCAGGCAGCUUAUGGUGAGGAGCAAAGGACUUGCAAAGGACUCUGGGACCAGUUGGGAGUGGCCAUCCAGGUCAACAUCCCAUAAUUGGCCAGAAGGCUUCUAGAACAUUCUGAGAGACUACAUUCUAUGAGAGACUAUAUAUAUGCAUGUCGGCCCCAUUUCACGGUCUUCUGAAGCAGCCUCUUUAUGUUUUGUUUUGCACCCUUGUUUGCACCCUUUUAUUUAUGUAAUAAAUAUCUUCAGUUUUGGCACUUCA